rnacentral:pre_miRNA from 1 species
AGCCUUCUGUUUCCGUGCUGAGAUUUCGUCAUACACCAGACCACAAGGUCUGAUGAGAUUCCUAAGAUAAAUUUAGCA